rnacentral:lncRNA from 1 species
GUGAGUGGCUGCUCAAGUAUUUGCGUGAAAGGGGUCACUGGAAAGAUGUACUGCCCUGCACACCAGAUGCUCUGCUGUGGUGUGUUUCCACCGAUUAUCACCAAGAGCUCCUUGGAAACUAUGCGUUUUGCAAGUGGAUGGAGCUUCUUGAAUUGCCUGAGGGCCUGGAGGUCCAUCUUAGCAAAUCAAAAGUGGCACUUAGGCCUUUGGUGAGGCUGAUUACAUCGGUGGAUGAAGGUCUGGCAGAGAGAGCGGUUGAUUUUUUGAAGACACUGCUCCAAAGGAGUCCUUCCACUCAGGCCAUAGGACACCGUCUGCGGACUUUACUCGUGACCUUAUUUGUGGAGAAGUUUACUGACAUUUGGCACCAGCGAACAGUGGCGA